rnacentral:rRNA from 1 species
UAGGGAAUCUUCGGCAAUGGACGAAAGUCUGACCGAGCAACGCCGCGUGAGUGAAGAAGGUUUUCGGAUCGUAAAACUCUGUUGUUAGAGAAGAACAAGGACGUUAGUAACUGAACGUCCCCUGACGGUAUCUAACCAGAAAGCCACGGCUAACUACGUGCCAGCAGCCGCGGUAAUACGUAGGUGGCAAGCGUUGUCCGGAUUUAUUGGGCGUAAAGCGAGCGCAGGCGGUUUCUUAAGUCUGAUGUGAAAGCCCCCGGCUCAACCGGGGAGGGUCAUUGGAAACUGGGAGACUUGAGUGCAGAAGAGGAGAGUGGAAUUCCAUGUGUAGCGGUGAAAUGCGUAGAUAUAUGGAGGAACACCAGUGGCGAAGGCGGCUAUCUGGUCAGUAACUGACGCUGAGGCUCGAAAGCGUGGGGAGCAAACAGG